rnacentral:rRNA from 1 species
CCUACGGGAGGCAGCAGUGAGGAAUAUUGGUCAAUGGGCGGAAGCCUGAACCAGCCAAGUCGCGUGAGGGAUUAAGGCCCUGCGGGUCGUAAACCUCUUUUGCCGGGGAGCAGUGGUCCGGACGCGUCCGGACCGGGAGAGUACCCGGAGAAAAAGCAUCGGCUAACUCCGUGCCAGCAGCCGCGGUAAUACGGAGGAUGCGAGCGUUAUCCGGAUUUAUUGGGUUUAAAGGGUGCGUAGGCGGGUUAUCAAGUCAGCGGUAAAAUCGUGGAGCUCAACUCCAUCCAGCCGUUGAAACUGAUGAUCUUGAGUGGGCGAGAAGUAUGCGGAAUGCGUGGUGUAGCGGUGAAAUGCAUAGAUAUCACGCAGAACUCCGAUUGCGAAGGCAGCAUACCGGCGCCCGACUGACGCUGAAGCACGAAAGCGUGGGUAUCGAACAGGAUUAGAUACCCGAGUAGUC